UCUCCGUAGGUGAACCUGCGGAGGGAUCAUUACUGAGUGAGGGUUUAACCGCCCGACCUCCAACCCUUUGUGAAUCGUACUCGUUGCUUCGGGGGCGACCCUGCCGUCCGCGGCUGAGCGCCCCCGGGGUCAAUCAAACACUGCAUUCUCUGCGUCGGAGUAUUAGUAAAUCUACUCCCAACUUUCCCCACCGGAUCUCUUGGUUCUUGCAUCGAUGAAGAACGCAGC
rnacentral:misc_RNA from 1 species